GAAUAACACUCGAAAUGUAUAUAAGAAAUACUCAAGUUAAUAAAAAAAAAAAGAAAGUGCUUCUAUUAAUUGGAAAGGAUAACAGUGUCUAUGUGAACAUCCAUGGGUGACUUUCAAUGUUUGCUGUGGAAAAUGCAGCAACGCAGUAUGAGGGACUCCAGAAGAUCCGAUUUCUUGUUUUGGUAAAAUUAAAAAAGGUGCUCAACCUGGUUCCUGCGAGUACCCACUCCGUGAGGGAUCUGCUCUAAUUUCUUACCACCAGCCAAGUAACUGUGCAAGUCCAAAUCGCCUCUCAGCCUCAGUUUAUUGUACUGACUACCAGUUUGUAAGACUUGUGUUAAAUGUACUGAUGUUUGUGGAAAUGCUACAGAUUGUAUAGUUAUAGAAGCAAGCUUUAAGCAAGAUAUUUUAGAAUGUGUUUAGUAUCCAGAUUUAUUGUUGGCCUAUGUUCAUGGGGAUUCAGGGGAGAGAUAAGCCAAUGGUAUCUGUUCUUGAAAUCUUGUGACCUCUGCAAAGAACCAUUUCUUCAAAAAUAAAAAUUACACUUCAUAAAAAAAAGAAAUGUAAAGUGAAUAAAUAAAUACACACAAACAUAAAUGGAAAAAAGGAAUGAUAAAAAUAUUUGUUAACACAUACGUUGGAGUUUUGAUGAGGAUUGUGUUAAAUCCAUAGAUUGCUUUUGGUAAGAUGGCCAUUUUUACUACAUUAACCUUGUAAUACCGCAGCUUUGGAGAUCUUUAAUUCUUCUGAUAUCUUCUUCAAUGUCCUGAAGGCCUUCUUAGUAUAGAAGUUUAACAUUUGAUUAGGGUUGCCCUAACAUAAUUUAUAUUUAUCAAGGUUAUUGUGAAAUUUGUUGUUUCCCUGAUUUCUUCCUCAGUCCAUUUUGUCUAUGGGACAGCUACAGAUUUUGUGAAUACAUUUGGUACCCAGCUUUGCUGAAUGUAUUUGUCAGCUGUAGGAGUUUCCCAGUGAAACUUUUAGGGUUGUUUGUGUGUAUUCCAAGAGCAUUUUCAAAUAUAGAGAAUGAUUUCCUCCCUUCCCAUUUGAACUCUUUCAGUUGACUUACUGCCAUAAGACUAUAUUUAAUAGCAUAUAGCAAGUGUUUAAUCACUUGUUCUUCAUUUUAGUGGAAGUGUUUUCAUUUUUCUUUUCAUUUAAGUUUAUGUGUGAUAUGGGCUAAACUGCCUUUAUUAUAUUGUGUUACGUCUUUUAUAUUCCUAAUGUCUAUAAUAAUAUUUUUAAUUGAAAUGGUGCUUGAUUUGGUCAAAGGUCAUUUUGCAUUGAAUGAUAAAAUCAUGUGAUUUUGCUUUGUUGGUUUGCUUAUAUUAUGGAUUCCAAUUCUUGACUUAAGUAUGUUGAGCCAUCCCUGAAUGUUCUAUUAUUUUUACAUGUGUUUUGCAAGUCUUUUAUCACUACUAGUACCUAAUGCUGUCAUAUCUUCAUUGAUUUCAUUACAUAACAGUUAAGCAGCCCCAUAGGAAGAGUAACAAUAUCAAUCAACCAGACCAACCAGAGAUCCUAGCAAAUAAACCACCAACCAAAGGGUACACAUCAAGUGACCCAUGGCUCCAGCAUCAAUGGGAGGAGAGGCGCUUGGUCCUGUGAAGGGUUGAUGCUCCAGUGUAGGUGCAUGCCAGGGCAGGAGGCAGGUGGCAAAGCACUCUAAUAGAAGCAAGAGGAGGAGGGAUGGGAUAGGAAGUUUCCAGAGGGGAAACUAGGAAAGGGGGAUAACAUGUGAAAUGUAAAUAAAGAAAAUAUCCAAUAAAAAAAGAAAUAAAUAAAUUAAAAAAGAAACACUUAAUCAAUAUGUCACAUUAAGUGUAAAAGUUAAAUAAGUAAAUGUACAAAAUAUUAAAAUUAAAAAUAUAGUUCUUAAAAACUAUACACUACUAUAGUUCACACAGUACCAUAUAUAUUUGGUGCUAGUUAUAAAUAAAAAUGUUAGAUUGUUUUUAUAAGCAUUGGCUAUAACCUUAUUAUUUAAAAGUGUGAUUUUAUUUCAGGGAGAGAGACAUGGAUUGAAUAUGCUUGGCCCAGGCAGUGGCACUAUUUGGAAGUGUGGUCCUGUUGAAAUAGGUGUGUCAUUUGGGAUAUGGGCUCAAUAUCCUCACCCUAGCUGCCUGGAAGUCAGUAUUCAGCUAUCAGCCUGCAUAUGAAGAUGUAGAACUCUCAGCUCGGUCUGCACCAUGCCUAGAUGCUGCUCUUUCUUUGAUGAUAAUGGACUGAACCUAAGAAUCUGUAAGGCAGCCCCAAUUAAAUGUUGUCCCUAUAAGACUUGCCUUGGUCAUGGUGUCUGUUCACAGCAAUAAAACCUUAACUAAGACAGAGGAGGAGUGAAGAAUAGUAUCUGAUGACAUAAUUAAAUAGAAUUGAUUAUUAAAAUUUUUUUGAAAUAACUCUUUAAUCUGUGUAGCUCUUAUUUAUAGAUGAAAAUAUCUAGUCUCAAGAGGGUAGUAAAUCUGCACAUAUGCUGUAAAUAUCUAUUCAGUGCUAGUAUAGAUAUGGUAAAUAUAUAUGUAUGUUGUAUUUGAUACAAUCAUAACUAAGAACUGGUAGUUGUGAUAGAUACAUAAUUGGUACAUAUCAAACUUGAACAUGUAUCCCAUGCAGCAAUUAUACAUUUAUUACGAUCCCAUUAAUUUUCCUUGUUUUUUGUUAUGAAUGUGGAACAUUACAAGAUACCAUUGAGAUCAUCGGUGAGCAGGUUAUGAGCAAAAAUGUUAAAUUCAUGAGAAAACAUCUUCGAGGACAGAAUCUGGUAAAUACAAGACUAUGAACACCAGAAUAAUGAGGUGUGGGGGGGAAUCAAUGUUGACUAGCAGGAUGAACUGUUACUGGGUCCUUUAGAAACAAAACAGCCAUAGAACUUACGUUAGAUUACAAAGCUGUUAGGGUUUUCACAGAGAAGCUACUAUUGAGAAGAAUCCACCAAGUAUAGAUAGAUGGGAAGGGGACUUCAGAUCAAUUGUCGCUGUCAGUGAGUGUUUGCUUGUGCUUGUCUAGUGAAGGUUGACGUGGAGAAAACUCAAGAUUUGUGAAGAUCAAGGGUUCGCCAUUAUAAAAGUCAAUGUGACUGCAGGCUCUUUUUUUUUUUUCUAUUUUCCUUUUUUUUAAAUGAGCAUUUUAAAAUUACCCCAAGUAAGUAAACAAUAUAUAAAUAAAAAGUUAUGCCCAUCUCUACCUUUAAGUACUCCAUUCCUUUGGUAUAACAGUUUCAGAGCAUACAUUAUUGUAUGUGAUCAAAAACAACGGCGGAAAUCAAUCUGGUGCUCAGUAUUUAUUCCUCCGUGUUGGCUUCGUUUUUAUGGAGCCUCCUCAUGCCAAGAGAGGAUGAUUUGACUCCACUGGUUUGGCAGACGAGAUGGAAGCCAAUACUUCAUUUUGUAUCGUAUCAACCCACACAUCUGGGUUGAGUUUUUCUGGUUUGGUUUGAAUCACAUAAUCAAGUUUAAAUCAUUCAGGUGCCCAAGAAAUGUGGUAUCUCAUUUACAAAAAGGAUGACAGUUUGGAAGUUACUGUUUCCUAAGAAAGUUGAUGCUAUAGUCCCAGAUGGGGUACAGAAAGAUUAGGGUGUUAAAGAAAAUCUGGGAAAUAUCAAAUUCAUACUUGAGAGAAAUUUUGAAGUUGUGUAUUGUUUGUUCAAAUUUUGCUUCACAAGAUCUCUUAAAAUAAAUGACUAAGAGUGACAAUUAUGCAAUGCUUUGGAAAAUAAGCCAUCACAUCUAAUUUAAGAAAACUACAAUUAUAUUUGCUUAAGUAUGAGCCUGAGUCUUUAGUGGCUGAGUUAUUUCUCUAGCCCUAUAAUUGUAUUCUUAAGAAGAGGAGAAAUAUUAAGCUCAGACAUGAAUAAAGAAUAGGUAAAUGAAAAUUUAUAGAUAGAACAUAAUGGACGUUAUUACAUGGAAAAUUGCUAUAAAUUAUUUUAUGGAAAUCACCAUAAAACUCUUUUGAUGGUGUUCGGGGAUAAUAUGCUCUUCCAGGGAGAGGCAAGAGGCAGUAACACAAGCCAGCACUAUGAAUGAGGAGGGUUUUGGUUUUACUUAUUCAUUUUGUUUCACCUUGUUUGAAAGUAGUUCUUUGAGAAUUUUAUACAUGUUCUAAUUCUUAGGUAUGUGAUGUCUUCAGAAUGGCUGUCUUCCAGCAUUCUGUAUAGUGUAAUCAAUAGCAGUGGCAAUAUUUGGUGGCGUUGGAGCCUUACUAAUCAACAGCUCCAAAUAAAGUAACAUAUUACUGGGACAUGCCUUUGAAUUCAUUAGUAGCCUUUUCUGUUCUACAGAUAUUAUCAUCUCAUUAUAUAUGACCAAUACAACAAUAUCCCAGGCAUUAUGACCAACAAAAAAAAUAUGACCUAGUACAAUCGAUACGAUCACUUCAAUGAAAAUGAAGAAUACAAAUGAGAAUAUAUCUUUACCAGCUAUUCAUCUGACAGACAGUUAGUAUGUAGAAUAUGUAAAUAACUAAAAGAUUGAAAUCAAGAAAAGAAAAAUGCUAUCCGAUGAGACAAGGAAAUAAGUAGUGAUGUCUAACACAAUGAAAUUCAAAUGACUAAGAAACAUUUAAAUUUUUGGUCAACAUUCUUACACAUCAGAAAAAGGAAAUUAAUGAUUUUAUUUGUUUAAAUACCAAAAGAUAAGUGGGGGAAAAUGUUAGAUUAGAUGUUGGAAAAGUGAAACACUUAAAUAUUGCUUCUCCUGAUGCACAUGUUUUUCUACCCCUAGAAAUCAGUGAGUGUGAAGUUUCCGCAAAAUCUUAGAUGUUCAUUGCUCUUCUAUUCACUAUAGCCAUGAAAUGAAAACAGCCUAGAUGUCCCUUAACUGAUGAAUAGAUAAUGAUUUCUGGUAAAAUGCAAUAUACUUUGAGAUAGGUAUUGUUAUAUUUUUUGAAAAUGAUGAGAUAAUAAUCUAUUGAAAAGAUGUUAUGGUUUUCCUUCCCACAGCUCCUCUCUUUUAAUUCCCACUAACCCAUCCACCUAAAUCUAUACUCUUUGUCUCCAUUAAAAUAUAAACAGAAGUCCAAUUAAUUGUAAGUGUUUUUAAAUUGUGGUAAAAUAAAAACAUACAAACCAGACCAAGAAAAACAAGCAAACAAACAACCCAAAAGAAAAGCACAAUAAAGAAAUACAGACUAUGAGAAUCACCCUUUGUACACAUUGAAGACUCAUAAAAAGAAUAUCGGAAAACAUUACAGAUAGCAAAAUAGUUGCAAGGGUAGAAGACAAAAAAAAAAAACCCUCCAAAAAUACUACCGAGAUAAUUUUAUGUUACCUAUCUAACACUAAGUGGGUCUACUCUUAACAGUGGUUGGGGAUGGUAUUUUCCCUUACACAGAAUUGGAGACUGCUCUGAAGGCUUGUGUAUACUUACUUCACCUACCAGAACUGGUAGUCCAUCUGGCUCAUACCUGUGCCAGCCCUGUGCUGCCACAGGUUCUGUGAGUUUGUAUGUGUGUCAACCUGUGUCUCUAAGGCCUCAUCCUCAUAGGUGUCUUAUAUCCUCAUUGACUCUCACAAUCUUUCUAUCUCUUCUUCUACAGGGUUCUCUUACCUUUUAGGGAAGACAUUGAUAGAGACAUCCAAUUUAGGAAAGAUUACUCCAAGAUGUCUUACUUUAUGGACAUUUUCCACUGUUGGGUCUCUAUAGAUGUUGCCAUCUAUUACAGAGGCAAACCUCUCUGAUGAUGGCUGAGUUAGACACUGAUCUAUGGAUGCAAGCAGAAGUUUGCUAGCUGUCAUUUUGUUGCUGUGUUGCUUUAUCAUACAUGAGUAGUUUGUUUUCACCUAGAUCCAUGGCUUAUCUAUUUUCUGGCCCAUAGCCUACUGAGCCCUGUUGACCAUGGAUUCCAGCUGCAAUUUUUAUCAAGUAGUGGUUGGUUGCUCCCACAACUUUUGUGCCAUUAUCAUACCAGGAUAUUUAAUAUACAAGUUACUAUUACAGGUCACAGGCUCUUACCUUCAGUGGAACUUACCCUUCUCCCAUGGUAGUGUGUCAAGUUCAUGAAUUUGGUUUGUGAUAGAGAACAUGCUGUAGAAUUUGACUUACCUAUGUUUUAUGAAGAUUUCUUUUCAGAACACAGGUAUAAAAUAUGCUUAAUUGUUUUAUUUCGGAACACUAUUUAUAUAAUUAUGUAUUGUUCUUCGGAAUCAAUCCCAGACAUGUUUAACAAUUUCUGGACAGACAAAUAAAGGUUAAGAUGUAGAUUGGGCUCUGUUUGUGUCAAUACUAAUUGCCAACUUGAUAAAAGUCCAGAGCCACGUAAGACAAGGAAAUCUCUGUGCAUAUUUAUGAGGGAUUAUCUUGAUGGCAUUACUUGAUGGGGGAAGAUCCAGCCACCACUGGUGACUGGAUUUGAUUGCCUGACUUGAACCUGGAUUGUAUUAAAAGGAGAAAUGUGUCUAGAAUGCAUGCACUAACUGCUCUUUCUUUCUGAUUAUGGAGGUGAGAAGCUUUCUGAAGUUCCUGGUGCUUUGACUAUUUUGCCAAGAUUGACUCUAACAAAGAACUAACCGCAGGGACAAAAAUGGAGAAGAGCCUGAGGAAAAGAAGGUCCAACAAGAGACCCAAGAGUGAGAAUACAGCAGUACAACCAUGGACAAAGCAAAGAAGACAUCUGAGAUGUGUGCCCAUGAGAUAUAUUUCAGUAGUUACAAGUCCUCUAGACCACACCAAGUCAUACCAGCCCAAAGGGAGAAUAAUGCUCCUACUUUUGCUGUGGGAGAAGAUUCUCAGAAGGCUCUUGGACACCCAAGCGCUGUUGGAUAUCACAGAAGAGCUGAGAUCUGGGAUCACAGAGAGGCAUUUUACCGGAGAUGAGGCAGCAGCUACGUAGGUGAAAGGCCUUCUCCAUGGCUCCCCGCAGCGGAUCUAGCCUGUGUUGUCUAGCAAGGAUGCUAUCAGUCAAUGAAGAGAAACCACCUUUCAAUUCUUUUUGUAAUCAGGGAAUCGGUGUAAAGGAUCAGCAUGAUCUUGGAGUCAAACGAAGACAGGACUGAGUAGCUGCUCCCUGGGAUGCCCUGAGCCCUUGCUGCGGCCACCGGCAAGCCCACAGCCUUAUUUCAGACACUCAUAUUAGCUGUGUACACUCUGAAUUAAAGAUUCAAGUAC